GCAAUAGAUAAUGUGACUGUGAUCCCUAAUGAACACCUCUUCGAUGGCCAGGGUGGAUUUGGCUGAUCUUCCUGGCUGGGCAAAUGUCCCUUUUCUCCUGCAUUGCUUCAUGUGUGUCCCUCCACGGCUGCACAUUCGUGUUUGCUCAAAGAGGACAGCCUUCCCCAAGUGAGAAGGACCAAUCUUCAGGCAGGGCUAAACACGCAGCUGAGCUCUCCUGCUAGACUCUCCAAACAAGCUCUCGAGACCCACUUGUAGAAGAAUGUAGACUAGCCCAAUUUCUAAGAUUCCAGACACGAUCAAGUAAGAGGCUGCUUGUGACAGCCUGGCUUUCUUU
ensembl:misc_RNA 7SK 7SK RNA